UACGUAGGGUGCAAGCGUUAAUCGGAAUUACUGGGCGUAAAGGGCUCGUAGGUGGCCAACUAAGUCAGACGUGAAAUCCCUCGGCUCAACCGGGGAACUGCAUCUGAUACUGGAUGGCUUGAGAUUGGGAGAGGGAUGCGGAAUUCCAGGUGUAGCGGUGAAAUGCGUAGAUAUCUGGAGGAACACCGGUGGCGAAGGCGGCAUCCUGGACCAACACUGACGCUGAGGAGCGAAAGCCAGGGGAGCAAACAGG
rnacentral:rRNA from 1 species